rnacentral:rRNA from 1 species
UAGAUGCGAGAGUAGAGCAUAUCAAUAAGCGGAGGAAAAGAAACUAACAAGGAUUCCCUUAGUAACGGCGAGUGAAGCGGGAAGAGCUCAAAUUUGAAAUCUUCAAGGUUUUACCUUGACGAAUUGUAGUUUAAAGAAGUGUUUUCUGUUGAAGUUUUGGUAAAAGUUCUUUGGAAUAGGACAUCAUAGAGGGUGAGAAUCCCGUAUUUGACCAUUAUUUUCAGCUGUGUGAUACACUUUCAAAGAGUCGGAUUGUUUGGGAAUGCAGUCCAAAAUGGGUGGUAAAUUUCAUCUAAAGCUAAAUAUUGGCGAGAGACCGAUAGCGAACAAGUACCGUGAGGGAAAGAUGAAAAGAACUUUGAAAAGAGAGUUAAACAGUACGUGAAAUUGUCAAAAGGGAAGCGUUUGACACCAGUGUUGUUUUUCCGAAAAUCAAUUACGAAUGGCUUGAUUUUGUGUUGUAUUGACCUUAUCAGCUUUCUUCACUUUUUUCGAGUCUUUCUUAAUGCACUUUUCGGUUAACAAGUCAACAUCAAUUUCUCUUGUUGUAAAAGAGUAUUCGGAAGGUGGCUUUCUUUUCGGAGAAAGUGUUUAUAGCCCUAUACUUCUACAAUCGGAGAGAUUGAGGUCUGCAGCGUAGAUCCUUCGGGGUUAGAUACAUUUGUGCUAAGUUGUAGCUUUUCAUAGACAACUUGUUGACUAUGUUUAGUCAUGCGGCUUACUCGCUUAUGCUAUUUUACCUACGCUUAGGAUGUUGAAGAUGUAGCACAUCAU